CCCUGUAAUUGGAAUGAGUCCACUUUAAAUCCUUCCGCGAGGAUCCAUUGGAGGGCAAGUCUGGUGCCAGCAGCCGCGGUAAUUCCAGCUCCAAUAGCGU
rnacentral:rRNA from 3 species